GUUGAAGGGCCGCGGUAUUAUGACUGUGCGAAGGUAGCAUAAUCAUUAGUUCUUUAAUUGGGGGCUAGAAUGAAUGGUUUGACGAGGUGAAAACUGUCUUAUUAUAAUAAAUUGAAAUUAUCUUUUAAGUUAAAAGACUUAAAUAAAGGUAAAGGACGAGAAGACCCUAUAGAGCUUAAUAUUUAAUUUUUUUUAAUUUUUAAAUAAGGAGUGAUUAUAAAUUUUAAGAAUAAAUAUUAUGUUGGGGUGACAUGAAGAUAAUAAGAACUCUUUUAUAAGGAAACAUUAAUUUGUGGUUUUUUGAUCCAUUAUUAGUGAUUAUUAGAAUAAGUUACCUUAGGGAUAACAGCGUAAUAUUUUUUAAGAGUUCAUAUCAACAAAGGAGAUUGCGACCUCGAUGUUGGAUUAAGGAUACUAUUGGGCGCAAGAGUUUAAUAAGUAGGUCUGUUCGACCUUUAAAUCUUUACAUGAUCUGA
rnacentral:rRNA from 1 species